rnacentral:rRNA from 1 species
GACGAACGCUGGCGGCGUGCCUAAUACAUGCAAGUCGAGCGAACGGACGAGAAUCUUGCUUCUCUGACGUUUGCGGCGCACGGGUGUGUAACACGUGGAUAACCUACCUAUAAGACUGGGAUAUCUUCGGAACACCGGAGCUAAUACCGGAUAAUAUUUUGCACCGCAUGGUUCAAAAGUGAAAGACGGUGUUGCUGUCACUUAUAGAUGGAUCCCCGCUGCAUUAGCUAGUUGGUACGUUAACGGCUUACCAAGGCAACGAUGCAUAGCCGACCUGAGAGGGUGAUCGGCGACACUGGAACUGAGACACGGUCCAGACUACUACGGGAGGCAGCAGUAGGGAAUCUUCGGCAAUGGGCGAAAGCCUGACGGAGCAACGCCGCGUGAGUGAUGAAGGUCUUCGGAUCGUAAAGCUCUGUUAUUAGGGAAGAACAUAUGUGGAAGUAACUGUGCACAUCUUGACGGUACCUAAUAAGAAAGCCACGGCUAACUACGUG